rnacentral:misc_RNA from 1 species
GGGGCUGAUGACUGGGGUGAAGUCGUAACAAGGUAUCCGUACCGGAAGGUGCGGAUGGAUCACCUCCUAACAGGGAGACAAACAAUGAUUUUGAUGCCUGAGUGUUUUUAUUCUUAGGCCGAAAUCCUGUCACCUUAUGGUCGAUCGGUACCUCAGCUUUGAAGUUAAGAAACUGCAGCAAUGUGGUUUGCUUGAUGGAAAUUUUCAGUUCCUAAACUUUGUCUAGGUCACACCCCACAAGGGUUGAGUCUCCUGGGCCAUUAGCUCAGGUGGUUAGAGCGCACCCCUGAUAAGGGUGAGGUCCCUGGUUCAAGUCCAGGAUGGCCCAUUCGGUGUUGGGGGUUUAGCUCAGUUGGUAGAGCGCCUGCUUUGCAAGCAGGAUGUCAGGAGUUCGAGUCUCCUAACCUCCACUGACCGAACUCAAUCUCCAUUGUCCGUAAUUGGAGGAUGAACUCGAGUGUUGUUUGUGAUUUAGAUAUGUCCGCUGGAAGAUCCCAGCUUCCUGUCAUUCCAAAGAAUGAGUAUUCACUCAGAAUUUGGUUGAUAAGAUGCUGGGCUCGAACUGAGCAAUCAGUUUGAUUUCUAGCAGAACCUUGACAACUGCAUAGGAAAGUCUGGAAAAAACAAAGCAUCUUACAGAUGCAUUGUUUUGAGUUUGAUCUUUCGAAAGGAAGAUUGAAUCCAGAGCAAUGAACAAUUCUUUU